UACAGAGGGGGCAAGCGUUAGUCGGAAUUACUGGGCGUAAAGCGUGCGCAGGCGGUUUUGUAAGCCAGAUGUGAAAUCCCCGGGCUUAACCUGGGAAUGGCAUUUGGGACUGCAAGGCUUGAGUGCGGCAGAGGAGACUGGAAUUCCUGGUGUAGCAGUGAAAUGCGUAGAUAUCAGGAGGAAUACCGAUGGCGAAGGCAGGUCUCUGGGCUGACACUGACGCUCAUGCACGAAAGCGUGGGGAGCAAACAGG
rnacentral:rRNA from 1 species